GUUAUUUUUUAUUUUUCAAAAAAAUUCAGUCAAAUUAAAAAAGUGUUUAUAAAAUGCUGGGCCAGUCGUGAAACCGACCCAAAAAACAUUACGAUGCACAAGGGUGAAUAAGUCUUUUAGCGAGCCACCCGAAAGCAGCUCAAGCUAAAAAACCAUCAUUUUGUAAUGAUCCAACCGCAGGUUCACCUACGGUUA
rnacentral:misc_RNA from 1 species